AAAAUCCGUGAAACGAGAAAGUGUAGCUUGGGAAUAUUACUGUCAUCGUGUUGAUCAGGGUAUCAGCAAUUUUCCUUACUACUGACAUCAGUAUGGUCUAUGUCGGAAGUUUAGCUUCUAAGCUAAUCCACCAGAAUCCAAGAGUAAGCCCUCAGAGAGGAGUUGCAGUCCGAUUGUGUCAGCUUACUCAACUUGGAGAGGGAAGAUAAUGUACCGGCGCCACCGGUACAUUUGGACAGCUGUUUGAAUAGCUUGAUAGAAUGAUCAUUUAAAGAACUUGUUUGGCUGAAGAGAUAGAAUGAAAAGGGAAGACCCAAAAGUGUUUUAUAACAGAAUGCGCAAGAUGGUUUGCAUCAUGGUUAUGAAGGAAAAGCUGACAGUAUUUUUGAGACAGCAAGAAAAACAUCAUUGCACACCACCAACUAAUAAGACUCCAAAGGAAUAACAAAGAUUAGAGUUCAAAGAAUGGAUUCAAUGCUGGUACUUGGAUACUUAUAAUCAGGCAUGGACUCUCAUCUCCCAUGGAUCUUCAGCACCUUUAGGUUACAGAUUUAUAUUUCAUUA